rnacentral:rRNA from 1 species
ACAUGCAAGUCGAGCGGUAAGGCACCUUUGGGUGUACACGAGCGGCGAACGGGUGCGUAACACGUGAGUAAUCUGCCCUUCACUUUGGGAUAAGCCCGGGAAAUCGGGUCUAAUACCGGAUAUUCUCUGAUACACGCAUGUGGGUUGGUGGAAAGCUUUUGUGGUGGAGGAUGGGCUCGCGGCCUAUCAGCUUGUUGGUGGGGUAAUGGCUUACCAAGGCUUUGACGGGUAGCCGGCCUGAGAGGGUGACCGGCCACACUGGGACUGAGACACGGCCCAGACUCCUACGGGAGGCAGCAGUGGGGAAUAUUGGACAAUGGGCGGAAGCCUGAUCCAGCAACGCCGCGUGAGGGAUGACGGCCUUCGGGUUGUAAACCUCUUUCAGUACCGACGAAGCGAAAGUGACGGUAGGUACAGAAGAAGCACCGGCCAACUACGUGCCAGCAGCCGCGGUAAUACGUAGGGUGCGAGCGUUGUCCGGAAUUAUUGGGCGUAAAGGGCUCGUAGGCGGUUUGUUGCGUCGGGAGUGAAAACCCAGGGCUUAACUCUGGGCUUGCUUCCGAUACGGGCUGACUAGAGGUAUGCAGGGGAGAACGGAAUUCCUGGUG